GAGUGUCAAUGAUCCAUUUGAGAGAUAGGUGGUGGUAAUGCACUUACAAGUCUGCGAUCCGCCAUAAAGCAAGAAGAAGAAUAAGAAGAAGAAGAAGACGCCUCGCGCGCCUGGCCGCCUGCUGCAGAGAACGCGUAUAGGAGGACGUGCUCAGGAGAGUUCUAACAGUUCGGACAUUGCAUGAAUCAGAGGAAUGCUAAGCUCAUCGGGUCUGUGAACGUGUUUGAACAGCAGCCCAUAAACUGCUGAUCACAGCUUUAGCUCCAGAGGCAGUGACUGAAAUUAACUAGCAUCAGACUCCUCGGCGAUCCUCCCCAUCUCCUCCCUCUCCUCCUCACUGAGAGGUUACCCAUGGUGCAGAGUGCUCAUAAUGAGAACAUGCUGGAGAUGUUUUGAUGAGAUGGCCUUACUGCUCUGUGCAUGCAUGUGUGUGCCAGUGGGUGUUUCCGAACCCGAAGGUGUAUGUGUGUCUGUUCCUCUUCCUCUCUGUGUGACCCGCUGUUCCCAAGAAAGCUGACCUGACUGGGAAAACAAAAGCUGCACUCUUAUUGACCCAGUUCACACUGGUGCAUAAAUCUGAUUGGGCGACAGGUUCUUUUACCUCACACUUGUUGUAAAGAAUGUGCGGUCUGAGUUCAACUUGAAAGAAAGCGGAAAUAUUUUGUGAUCACUCUUAAAAGGGUCUUUGUUUAAUCUCAUACUAUGUCUAGAAGCAUGUUUGCCUAAAGUGGUCACAAAAGAGCAUUUGUAAUCCCUAGGAAUUCGAUGUCUUGCUCUCAUUGGACACGUCUUAUCUGGAUUCUGAUUUUAUGAGUCCAUUCUAACUGACAGCAUACCAGACAGUGACAGACAUAUUUGAAAAUUGAUUAACUUUUAUGUGUGAGAAGCACUCUGCUCACAAUGGACUUCGUCUUAUCCUUUGCAUUGCACAAGCACACCAUGUAACCCCCAGUUAAAAUUGCACUCUAGGUCAUGCUUCUCUUAAGAGCGCUGGUGACAAGUUCAUCUGGGAGACAAAUUAGGGCUGGAAGCAUAGGAGGAACUCUGUACACAUUUGAAAUUGUUCCCAUUCAGAGACAGGAUCAGAUUUGUUUCUUUUUGUUGUUGACCCCUUUUCUUAAUGGCAGUUCAACAUUUUCCUCAGUACAAACAAGAUAUGGCGACAUUGACGCAACCAAUGGUGUGAGUUUGCAGCAGGACUAUCCACUGGUGACCAAUGCUUGACAGGGAGUUGUUUAGGAAACCUGUUUGGAAUUGUCAAUAUUUUUGCAAAUCACUUUGGUGAUUGCCAAUUCACUUUUGCACCACUAGUGUCAGCAAACAAAAUUAGCAAUCUGUUUGGCGAAUGAGAGAGACUGCUGUAAUUGUUUUUGCAUUUUUGUUAGGUGCCACAUUGGCACAGAUAUUAUGCACUUAUCAUUUAAUAACAGUGACGCCAGUGAUUUACUGUGAAUGAUCUGACUGCCAACAGGCUGGCAGUGCUAUCAAAAAAAGACUGCAAAAGCAACACUCAUCUAGCAUCAUCAAAGAAAUCCAUAGUUUUAUUAACUAACAUUUAUAAAGAUUAUUUAAAACAUUUAUUUGCUCAUUGUUAGUUCACAGAAGGUAAUGCAUUUACUAAUGUUACCUAAUGUUACCAUUCACCCAGGAAUUUGAAUUUUGUACAUUUUUAUUUUUAUUUUUUUUUACAAAAGAACACUUUUUAAAGGAUAUUUUUUCUUCUAAUCUCUGUUUCUGUUUUGUUGUCUUGUGAUCAUGACUUAGGUUUCUCACAAGAAGAAAAAACAUUAUUCUGAAAAAUUCAGUCAUCCAUAUUGCACUUAGAAAUAGGUUUUGUAUUUCUGAAUUAGGAAAAUACUAAAGCACUUUGAGAUCUCAAGAAAACAGUUAUUAAAAUAAAAAUAAUAAAAAGAGUCA
ensembl:lncRNA